UCUUUUUUUUUUUUUUUUAAAUCUCCUUCAAUUUUUUCCUGGUAGCGCACACAAAAAAAAUCAGGAUAUAAAUUAUUGGAAAUUUUUGUACUACUUAAAAACUUUUCUUAACAGUAGCACUACAUGAUGUUUCUCAUCUAUUCUUUGAGUACCUGUAUAUAGUAUUUACCUAGUACUCAAAUAAGCAAUACUUAUUGUGAACUAGAUAUGUAUUGAAGUAGUCAUCAGCAUAUAGUCACUUACUGAUAAAAUGCAAAUUCCAGUUUUGAUACUUAAUGAAAUAGAAAUUUUUUUUCACUGGAAGUAUGACUAAAGAAUGAACUGCUUUGGACUUAUUAAUGUAAAAUAUUUUAAUCUUAAAACAGCACAAUAACACAUUUACAAAGCAUUCUUGUGUCUGAGAGCGUCUAUUUAUAGAUUAAGCGUUAAAUACCAAAAUGGGAAUAUACAUUAAAAGAAAAUGCUUCAUGUUAUAUUUUAUCUAUUUUGCAUUACCUGUCAAGGUUAUACAUUUUGGGGAGGGGAUGAAAAUAUGAUCACACUCAUGAUGAAAUAGCUAGAUUAUGGAUGCAUGCAGCAAGUGCUGGGGUAUUUGCCAUAUUGAAAUAUUUUCUUGCUGGACUUGAUUUAAAUAAAAGUAAUUGUAUUUAGUUUCUAUUCUUUAACAAUAUAUUUAUUUUAUACUUUAAAGACAUUCUGUAAAUCAGUUUCAGAAACUGAUCUAUAUGUGCAUUUCAAAGGGUUGUUAAUGGUUUGCUGCCAGGUUUUUGUGCAAUAAUCUUAAAGAGGUCUCAUUACUUUUCUAGUACUGAUUACAAAUAACAGUGUUAAUUUGAUGCUGAAACCCUUCAAGGAGUGUUUUAGUAAACAAAAAUUCACAAAGAGAACUGAUGAACAUUUGUUCACUGAUGUUCUCUCUUCUGUUUUCUCUCCAGUAUCUUAGUCCCCUGACAAUAUAUAUUAUUACCACUUCUUUCUCCUCCUUGUUCUUGUCUCUGAUCAAGGGCUAAUUCCAAGGGCAGGGGGACCCACAUGAUAGUUCAAAAGAUCUGUUUCAGGGUCUGAUUGUGAAAGAAUGUUUCAUCCUUCACUUGAAAAUGGUGAGAUAGAAGAGGAAGGGUUUUCCUAGUUCCUAACUGGGGUUUAUGUUCUAGAUUUCACUGUCUUGAGUGACAGACUUGAAAAUUGUAACUCACUCCCAGGAUUCUAGUGUCUGGGUUCAUCAUGAUAUUUGAAGCCUGUGUUUCAAGCAUUUCUGUACAACAUGAUGAUUUGUAAUUGCCAUGAAGAGAUUGCACUGUGAAAGGAAUCUCCUUGUUUGUACUUUGGGUGGGAAGGGGUUACAUGUUUUUUUUUCUCAAACCUUGGUAUUCUCUGCCAAGGUGACUAAAGUUAUUUCAUAAAACAUAAUCUCCAUCUGUGGUAAUACAAGUCUAUAUGGCAUUUCACUGUUUCAACCAAAUUGGUAGAAUACAGUUAUUCUGGCUUGGGAGAAAGUUCAAAUACCCAUCCUUUGUUGUUGUUUUCUUUGGGUUUGACUACAAAACUAUAAUACUGUAUGUUCCUUAGUCCCAUAUGUUAAAAGUACAUUGCCCUUUUAUGUGAAUUCAUGAAGGCAAAUAUAAUCUUAUGUAACAGAGAUUAGAACUAAAAACCCCUUGCUUGAAUUUUAGGGUUUCUUGUCUAUGUAACUGAACUUGCUUGAUAAUUGACUGAAAUGUCUACACACACCAUAGUACUGUGAAACUCUUCAAUGAGAUUUACUGUUACUAGCUGGCGAUAUUGUUUAGCAAAACUUUGUCUUUCCCUCUUCCUCAAACAUAUAUAUGUAAGACAUUUUUAAAUCUUGCUAUUGUAUAUCUAGAGACUAAUUUUUUCUUACACUCUUUUAUUAAAUUCUACCAGAAAAA
ensembl:lncRNA